GAUGCGAACUUGUCCCUCGAGGCUUCGGGUGUUCCGUCCCUGUCACUCUCCCCUGCUCAGGUUGCAGAGUCGCGGGGAGAGCGCUUCGGAGAACCCGAAAGGAGGCAGAGAUGGUGAGUGCACGGCUUGGGCCCUGCACACGGAAAAGGCUGAUUCAAAUUGCUGGCCUGGCUCUGGACCAGGGGUUAAGGGCAGCCCUGGAAAGGGGGCACUGGAUGGGUGUGAACUGAAUCCAUACUUUUCUGUUCUGGAGAUGGUGUCUGUGUGGCCAGGAGCAGAUUCUCCUCUGAACCCAUGACCAGUCGUUCAGAUCCAGGUGCACCAGAGGAAGCCAGGUGGCUGAUCUGAGCAGGCUCCCCGCUGCUGCCCUUCCGUCUUUUUUCCUUGAUGGAAUCUUGUCCCAUGUGACUCAGCGUUCGAGCACCUAAAGACUUCUGCUCCAUUACUAUAAGAUUUUUUCCUCAGAUGUAUCCUGCUGAGCAACUGACUCGCUGGCUUUAGACAAUGUCUCAUAAUCUGAAAGAAAAGAAAAAUGAAUACAUGCAUUUAGGAAUAAGGCUCUGUGAGCAAAGACAGACUCUGAGGACGUCAGCACUUUUACGACCUCAGUGCGGCCAGGCACAAAGGGUCAAGAAUGGCAGACAGUUCACGAAAGACCGUCAUGAGGCUUCAAACCAUAAACCUCUCUCUCUGUGAACCGAAAGGACCCACGAAGCCUGUACCCACACUAAUGACAAUAAAGGAGCAUCCAGUCUGUUAAGCCAAGACAAAAAAAAAGUCACUGCUAACACACGGAUUUCCACUGUCCUGAAAACAUUAUCAGAUUCUAGGCUGUGGCCGCGGCUGUCUCAUUUACCAGUGUAUCUACCGCUUUUCCCAUGUUUCAAGUCUGGCAACAGCGCUGAUGAGAAAUGCCUGUUCCCUGAAGGACGAAGUGCACGGGCGAAGCUCUCCUCACCCACAGAGGCCAGGUUCCUGCAGGUCUCCAGCAUCACGUCUCUGUAGAGCCUCCUCUGAGCAGGGUCCAGCAAAGCCCACUCCUCCAGGGUGAAGUUCACAGCCACGUCUUCAAAGACCACAGAGCCCUAAAACACUCAAAUUUGUGCAGGAAGAUGGGUGAGUCUGUCAGCACUGGGAGGCUGGAUUCAAGUCCCGGGAAGUCCAGACAGGGUCCUGUGGGCCCCAGACACCUGCUCAGAUUCUUCACAACUCACUCCCUAUUUCACAGCACCCCCAACAAUCUGAACUUAACUCAUUUAUCCUGUCUCCUUUUGCCUUACUCCUUUCUACCUGUAGGGCCCAGAAAGAGGGGAUACAUACGAAAUAAACACUUCCAUCUGAAAAAUGUGCAGCGAAAGGGCAACUGAGCAGGCCUCAGUGGGCCAAACCCUGAACUUCAGGACUAACCCUUGACCAGCUCCUGGGAGAAAGCGUGUAAGGCCCUGGAAUACAUUGCCUGAUAAGAACAUCUGUGUGCCUGGGGUCUUGGGCCAUGCCAGAGUUUAUGCCGACGACAUGACUUAUGAUGUAUGCCUGGUUUUUGCCAUCCUAGGUUUUGGGGGAACAUGGUAUCAAACUUCUAGAGAAGCCGGACACUGACAGCUAAGGUCAGUGCAUGGGCACCCCAAUGCCUAUGUGACCAACAAUCAAUAAAAACCCUAGAUUGGCAGUUCUAGGGCUUGGGUGUGCUCCCCUGCUUAGUAUAUUUCAUACAUGUAGCAAAUUAAACUCUGCACAUGCAGUGCAACUUGCACUGAGAGGAUAACAAAGUUUGAGUCUACCUCUCCUUCACAAUUUCUUAUUUUGUGGCCUCACCCACAGCACAUGAAAGUUCCUGGCCCAGAGAUCCAAUGUGAGCCACAGCCACCACCCAAGCCAUAGCUGUGGCAAAGCCAGAUCCUUUAACCCACCACACCAGGCCAGGAUUGAACUUGUACCUCCACAGCAACCUGUGUUUCUGUAGCCAGGUUCUUGAGCCACUGCGCUACAGCAGAGACUCCUCUCCUUCACUAAUUUUAAUAUCUGUCCUUUUCAUAGGAGUUCCCUUGUGGUACAGCAGGUUAAGGAUCUGAUGUUGUCACUGCAGUGGCUUGGGUCACUGCUAUGGUGCAAGUUUAAUCCUUAGCCCGGGAACUUCCACAUGCCACAGGUGGGGCCAAAAAUCAAAAAAGGAAAAAAAAAAAAAAA
rnacentral:lncRNA from 1 species